UACCAGCACCCCGAGUGGUCGGGACGUUUAUUGGGCCUAAAGCAUCCGUAGCCGGUUCUACAAGUCUUCCGUUAAAUCCACCUGCUCAACAGAUGGGCUGCGGAAGAUACUAUAGAGCUAGGAGGCGGGAGAGGCAAGCGGUACUCGAUGGGUAGGGGUAAAAUCCGUUGAUCCAUUGAAGACCACCAGUGGCGAAGGCGGCUUGCCAGAACGCGCUCGACGGUGAGGGAUGAAAGCUGGGGGAGCAAACCG
rnacentral:rRNA from 1 species